UACAGAGGGGGUCAGCGUUAUUCGGAAUUACUGGGCGUAAAGCGCACGUAGGCGGGUUGUUAAGUCAGGGGUGAAAUCCUGGAGCUCAACUCCAGAACUGCCUUUGAUACUGGCAACCUAGAGACUGGAAGAGGUUAGUGGAAUUCCCAGUGUAGAGGUGAAAUUCGUAGAUAUUGGGAAGAACACCAGUGGCGAAGGCGGCUAACUGGUCCAGCACUGACGCUGAGGUGCGAAAGCGUGGGGAGCAAACAGG
rnacentral:rRNA from 1 species